rnacentral:rRNA from 1 species
CACGUAGGGCGCAAGCGUUGUCCGGAAUUAUUGGGCGUAAAGAGCUCGUAGGUGGUUUGUUGCGUCUGCCGUGAAAACCCGAGGCUUAACCUCGUGGCUUGCGGUGGAUACGGGCAGACUUGAGGUAGGUAGGGGAGAAUGGAAUUCCCGGUGUAGCGGUGAAAUGCGCAGAUAUCGGGAGGAACACCGGUGGCGAAGGCGGUUCUCUGGGCCUUACCUGACGCUGAGGAGCGAAAGCGUGGGGAGCGAACAGG